rnacentral:lncRNA from 1 species
UUCUCUCGGUUCUUCCAGUGAGUUCCUUCACCUACUCUCUUUCUCUCACUGUGUUCUUCGUUAUUUUGCCUUCAAAUCUAUACGUUUUCAUGGUAUCAUAGCCAGAUGAUCUUCGGAUCCUUCUCGGUUGCGUGUUAUCGAUCCAGUUUGAAGCUUUUGCUGAAGUUGUUUUUUAUGGUUACCGGUGAGAGAUACUGUUCGCAGAUGUUUCAACGAAUGUUGAGCAGAUAAUCGGAAUUUUCCUAUUAUUCGAGGUUCCGAUCUUGUAUCAGUGGGUGUUUUGGGUAAUUUUCCUGCAUCCCUGGCUUUAUUCCGAUGAGUUCUUCAAAUUCUAGGGUUUUCCGAUUUUCGGACCUAGAGCUUUGAUGUUAUCCGAUGACUUUGUCUUCGCUUGAUAGACGUUUUGGGUAACUUUCCGACGUCUGUGAUCUUAUUCUGGUGAGUUUCUGAACCUACGGUUUCCGGUGUUGGACCUAAGGUUUUAUCUGUUGAUUGAAGGCCGAUCUUCUCUACGGUUUCCGGUGUUGGACCUAGGGUUUUAUCUGUUGAUUGAAGGCCGACUUCUCCGGUCGCGAAGAAGGAGGGUAACUCUGUCCUUAUUUUCAGUAUUGUAUGCUUUGUAUGUGAACUCUGGUUCCGUUAUAUUUCGCUUACCGAGACUGUUUUCUUCUCAAACUGGUUCAUUAAUCAUGGCCUCUAAUACGAAUGCUAGUACCUCCUCAGUGGACUCUACCAGCUCCCUUUUUGUUUACUCCUCUG